rnacentral:rRNA from 1 species
CCCUUAGAUGUUCUGGGCCGCACGCGCGCUACACUGACGAAUGCAACGAGCUUAUAACCUUGGCCGAAAGGUCUGGGUAAUCUCCAAAUUUCGUCGUGAUGGGGAUAGAUUAUUGCAAUUAUUAAUCUUCAACGAGAAAUGCCUAGUAAGCGCAAGUCAUCAGCUUGCGUUGAUUACGUCCCUGCCCUUUGUACACACCGCCCGUCGCUCCUACCGAUUGAAUGGUCCGGUGAAGCGUUCGGACCGUGGCCUUUGGACGGUUCGCCGUCUGUUGGCUGCGGGAAGUUCGUUAAACCUUAUCAUUUAGAGGAAGGAGAAGUCGUAACA